rnacentral:rRNA from 1 species
UGGGGAAUAUUGCACAAUGGGCGCAAGCCUGAUGCAGCCAUGCCGCGUGUAUGAAGAAGGCCUUCGGGUUGUAAAGUACUUUCAGUCGGGAGGAAGGUGGUAAGGUUAAUAACCUUAUCAAUUGACGUUACCGACAGAAGAAGCACCGGCUAACUCCGUGCCAGCAGCCGCGGUAAUACGGAGGGUGCAAGCGUUAAUCGGAAUUACUGGGCGUAAAGCGCACGCAGGCGGUUGAUUGAGUCAGAUGUGAAAUCCCCGGGCUCAACCUGGGAACUGCAUUCGAAACUGGCAGGCUAGAGUCUUGUAGAGGGGGGUAGAAUUCCAGGUGUAGCGGUGAAAUGCGUAGAGAUCUGGAGGAAUACCGGUGGCGAAGGCGGCCCCCUGGACAAAGACUGACGCUCAGGUGCGAAAGCGUGGGGAGCAAACAGG